rnacentral:rRNA from 1 species
GACGAACCGAGCGAACGUUGUUCGGAAUCACUGGGCGUAAAGGGCGUGUAGGCGGGACAGUAAGUCGGGCGUGAAAUCCCUGGGCUCAACCCAGGAACUGCACUCGAAACUACUAUUCUUGAGUGUCGGAGAGGAAAGCGGAAUUCCUGGUGUAGAGGUGAAAUUCGUAGAUAUCAGGAGGAACACCAGUGGCGAAGGCGGCUUUCUGGACGAUAACUGACGCUGAGACGCGAAAGCGUGGGGAGCAAACAGG